GACGAACCGUGCGAACGUUGUUCGGAAUCACUGGGCUUAAAGGGCGCGUAGGCGGGCUGCCAAGUCUGGGGUGAAAUCCCACGGCUCAACCGUGGAACUGCCUUGGAUACUGGCGGCCUUGAGGGAGGUAGGGGCAUGCGGAACUGUGGGUGGAGCGGUGAAAUGCGUUGAUAUCCACAGGAACUCCGGUGGCGAAGGCGGCGUGCUGGACCUCUUCUGACGCUGAGGCGCGAAAGCCAGGGGAGCAAACAGG
rnacentral:rRNA from 1 species